AGUAACACGUGGAUAACCUGCCUUAUACUGGGGGAUAACAGCCAGAAAUGGCUGCUAAUACCGCAUAAGCGCACGGCGCCGCAUGGCGCAGCGUGAAAAACUCCGGUGGUAUAAGAUGGAUCCGCGCCUGAUUAGCUAGUUGGCGGGGCAGCGGCCCACCAAGGCGACGAUCAGUAGCCGGCCUGAGAGGGCGACCGGCCACAUUGGGACUGAGACACGGCCCAAACUCCUACGGGAGGCAGCAG
rnacentral:rRNA from 1 species